UUGGCUCCGGUAAGGUGUUGAAGCCCAGUUGCCCAGCAUGGUGAUGGCGGUCGGUGGAUGGAACACGGACCAGGGAGGGCCAAGGGCUCUUCAACCCCUUCGACUUCGAGACUUCAAUGGGGAAAUUGGGAAAGUCAGGAGAUAGAAGAGUGAAGAGAAGAGGAAGAGCUGAAGAGGAUGGGUUUAAUGGGAUUAAAAGGAUAGAGGUCUGACCUUGGCUCUGGCAAGGUGUUGAAGCGCAACUCCCAACACGGCAGUACGGCAGCACGAUGUUGAAGCCUCCGCUCUCUGGCAAUAAAGUUCAAAACCCUAAAGAGGAAAAGAAAAGAUUAAGGAAUCUAAGACUUGAGAUCCAGAGGAAGGGGAUUUGGAGGAUCCUUACCCAAAACGAUGAACGAUGAUGGCCGAAGACAGGAAGACAAUGUCAGUGAUGAUCGAUGACAAUGAGAGAAGAUGGAGGAUCGAUGUCACGGAUCAAGGACAGAACACGCCAAAAGGGGAAGACGGAAGAUCUGUCGACAAAUAGGGGAAGAUGAUGAUGGCAGUCGGUGGAUAGAACAUGGACCAGGGAUGGACGAUCGACUUUGACGGACGGGGAAGAAUUGAAGAUGGAGAAGAGAAGAGAAGAGGAAGAGCGGAAGUGAGAAGUCUGAAGAGGCAUCGAGGGCUCGAGGCGAUGGGCUCAGCCGCUCAGGGCUCUUUUAGUCGGUCUGACCAUGUGGUCCAUGUCCCAUUUUUAUUUUGGCCUCCCUUUCGGGUUGGCAAUUGGGCUUUUAGUCGGGCUCCAUUUCGGGCCCGGGCCCAAGCCCGGGCCGGACCAAAAGUCCACCCGAGCCCGACCCAAAAUUAAAAUGGGCCCUAUUUUAUUGGCCCGAGCUCGACCUGGAUG
rnacentral:lncRNA from 1 species